rnacentral:rRNA from 1 species
GAUGAACGCUGGCGGCGUGCUUAACACAUGCAAGUCGAACGAAAAGGCCCAAGCUUGCUUGGGUACUCGAGUGGCGAACGGGUGAGUAACACGUGGGUGAUCUGCCCUGCACUUCGGGAUAAGCCUGGGAAACUGGGUCUAAUACCGGAUAGGACCACUUCUUGGAUGUUGUGGUGGAAAGUUUUUUCGGUGUGGGAUGAGCUCGCGGCCUAUCAGCUUGUUGGUGGGGUAAUGGCCUACCAAGGCGUCGACGGGUAGCCGGCCUGAGAGGGUGUACGGCCACAUUGGGACUGAGAUACGGCCCAGACUCCUACGGGAGGCAGCAGUGGGGAAUAUUGCACAAUGGGCGCAAGCCUGAUGCAGCGACGCCGCGUGGGGGAUGACGGCCUUCGGGUUGUAAACUCCUUUCGCUAGGGACGAAGCGUUUUGUGACGGUACCUGGAGAAGAAGCACCGGCUAACUACGUG